UACAGAGGGUGCAAGCGUUGUUCGGAAUUAUUGGGCGUAAAGGGCGCGUAGGCGGUGCGGUAAGUCUUUUGUGAAAUCUCCGGGCUCAACUCGGAGUCUGCAGGAGAAACUGCCGUGCUUGAGUGUGGGAGAGGUGAGUGGAAUUCCCGGUGUAGCGGUGAAAUGCGUAGAUAUCUGGAGGAACACCGGUGGCGAAGGCGGCAUCCUGGACCGACACUGACGCUGAGGAGCGAAAGCCAGGGGAGCAAACGGG
rnacentral:rRNA from 1 species